rnacentral:tRNA from 1 species
GGCCCGUUCGUCUAGUGGUCAGGACUCCAGGUUUUCGACCUGGCAACAGGAGUUCGAUUCUCCUACGGGCUAC